UACGGAGGGGGCUAGCGUUGUUCGGAAUUACUGGGCGUAAAGCGCACGUAGGCGGCUUUGUAAGUUAGAGGUGAAAGCCCGGGGCUCAACUCCGGAAUUGCCUUUAAGGCUGCAUCGCUCGAAUUGUGGAGAGGUAAGUGGAAUUCCGAGUGUAGAGGUGAAAUUCGUAGAUAUUCGGAAGGACACCAGUGGCGAAGGCGACUUACUGGACACAUAUUGACGCUGAGGUGCGAAAGCGUGGGGAGCAAACAGG
rnacentral:rRNA from 1 species